rnacentral:rRNA from 1 species
UACCCGCUGAACUUAAGCAUAUCAAUAAGCGGAGGAAAAGAAACCAACAGGGAUUGCCUUAGUAGCGGCGAGUGAAGCGGCAAAAGCUCAAAUUUGAAAUCUGGCACCUUCGGUGUCCGAGUUGUAAUUUGAAGAUUGUAACCUUGGGGUUGGCUCUUGUCUAUGUUUCUUGGAACAGGACGUCACAGAGGGUGAGAAUCCCGUGCGAUGAGAUGCCCAAUCCUAUGUAAGGUGCUUUCGAAGAGUCGAGUUGUUUGGGAAUGCAGCUCUAAGUGGGUGGUAAAUUCCAUCUAAAGCUAAAUAUUGGCGAGAGACCGAUAGCGAACAAGUACAGUGAUGGAAAGAUGAAAAGAACUUUGAAAAGAGAGUGAAAAAGUACGUGAAAUUGUUGAAAGGGAAGGGUUUGAGAUCAGACUCGAUAUUUUGUGAGCCUUGCCUUCGUGGCGGGGUGACCCGCAGCUUAUCGGGCCAGCAUCGGUUUGGGCGGUAGGAUAAUGGCGUAGGAAUGUGACUUUGCUUCGGUGAAGUGUUAUAGCCUGCGUUGAUGCUGCCUGCCUAGACCGAGGACUGCGAUUUUAUCAAGGAUGCUGGCAUAAUGAUCCCAAACCGCCCGUCUUGAAACACGGAC